GGAUUCCAUGGUGUAACGAUUAAUACUCUGGGCUUUGAAGCCAGCGAUCCGAGUUCAAAUAUCGGUGGAACCU
rnacentral:tRNA from 1 species